GACGAACGCUGGCGGCGUGCUUAACACAUGCAAGUCGAACGGUGAAGCUCCAGCUUGCUGGAGUGGAUCAGUGGCGAACGGGUGAGUAACACGUGAGCAACCUGCCCCUGACUCUGGAAUAAGCGCUGGAAACGGCGUCUAAUACUGGAUACGAGAAGGGUCCGCAUGGGCACUUUCUGGAAAGUUUUUCGGUUGGAGAUGGGCUCGCGGCCUAUCAGCUUGUUGGUGAGGUAAUGGCUCACCAAGGCGACGACGGGUAGCCGGCCUGAGAGGGCGACCGGCCACACUGGGACUGAGACACGGCCCAGACUCCUACGGGAGGCAGCAGUGGGGAAUAUUGCACAAUGGGCGAAAGCCUGAUGCAGCGACGCCGCGUGAGGGAUGACGGCCUUCGGGUUGUAAACCUCUUUCAGCAGGGAAGAAGCGAAAGUGACGGUACCUGCAGAAGAAGCACCGGCUAACUACGUG
rnacentral:rRNA from 1 species